CGUGAAAGAGACAGCAAUCGAUUCAUUCAAAUCCCCAGUUUCUCUCCGGUAACAAAAUUCAACAAACAAUCGGCAAUCGUUGGUGUGCUUCUCGGUAGCUCGUUCAAAGGAAAUGUCGAUGUCACUAAUAGUUAUGCAGGGUUUGUUUGGAUCUGAGGUGGUAAAUUUAGUUAUUGUAGAUUGUUUUUGGUGACGUGACAGUUUAAUUUUGUAUUUGUUUGUGGUUAUAGAUUGUUCAUGAUAAGAUAUGUGGUCUAGGCUUUAUAAUUGUGACAGAUGUGACGGUUGAAUUGUUGUGAUUGUUCAGAAUUAUAGAUUGUUUAUGCUAAAGAUGUGUAUUCUAGGGUUUAUAUAAUCAUGACAUAUAUGGCGGUUGAAUUGUUUUGGUUAUUGAGGAUUGUAGAUUGUUUAUGCUAACGAUGUAUUCUAGGGUUUAUAAAUUUUAAUCAUGACAGAUAUGACGGUUGAAUUUUUGUGCCUGUUCGUUGAAUCGAAGUUCUACAGGGAAAUAGAAUUUGCUUCAAAUGCCAACAAAACACUGGCUUUGUUCCCAUGGUUCAAUGGCCUCUUUUUCUUCUAGCCAGCAAGAUAUUCGUUGAUGCAACAUUUGGCGGCAGAGAGUGACUCACAAAUACAAUUGUGGGAAAGGAUUUCGAGAGACGAUUACAUGAAAUAUGCAGUUGAAGAGUGUUUUACACCAUCAAGCUGAUUUUGACCUCAAUUUUUGACAAUGAUGGCAAAGAGUGGGUUAAUAGAAUAUAUGAUGAAAUUCGAGGAAGUAUAGUGAAAGGAGCAACUGUCUCUUGUUACUCAGAAAGUUACUGCACUAACAUGAAUUUUGAAAGAAGUUGGGACACCUGAACUGGAGACUGGUGCGAUUAAUGUUGCGCUAGAUCUUUAUGAUGUUAUCCAGCUUGAUUUUUUUAGUGUGAAUAUGAGAGAAAAUUAUGCCACAUGGAAUAUGUUGAUAAAAGCAUGGAAGGAAGGCCGUUUGUUCAAAGAUUAAGUGGCCAAGAGACCCUGAAUUGAGGUUACAAAUUCGGAGGCUACACUCACUCUUCACUAUCAAAGAUUCAGCAGUAAACGUCCCUAGAAACCUAGACGCUAGACGUAGGUUGGAGUUCUUCACAAAUUCACUUUUCAUGAACAUGCGUAGACCCAAACCUGUUCGGGAAAUGUUAUCUUUCAGUGUUUUUACUCCGUAUUAUUCGGAGACUGUACUUUAUAGCAUCAACGAGCUUCUUAAGAAAACUGAAGAUGGGAUUUCAAUUUUGUUUUACCUCCAAAAGAUUUAUCCCGGUAUUUUGGCUUUCAUGUUCAAUGAAUAGCAGGGGUAUUCCUCUCAGAAUGUUAUCAGUUUCUCAGCUCAAUCGUUCCCUUCAAUCGUUGCCCUUUGAUUGUAUUCAAUCAUGCUUUAUUUAUGUAAAUAUUUGUGCUCAAACUUCUCAAGCUCCAUCAUCGUAUUUUCUACAUGAAAAAAAAUAUUAUUUAUCUUUCUCAGGUAUUUGCUUUGUGCACGCAUGUUUUUGUAAAGAAACAAGGUCCAAAUUACUAUUUUGCACCCACGUUUUUGUAAAGAAACAAGGCUCCGGCUGUUGUGGUUGCAACACCGGUUACGGUUGUUGCGGAUGGACCUUGUAGGAAAGAUGAAUUGAGGCCUCUCUGUUAUUGACAGUUACCAAUUGCUUAAAGGUGCAUAAUUGAUCGAUGAUGAGGUUUUCCUUGCACCUGCCCUUGGUUGGUGCAUAAAGCAAAUAAACUAUAUUUAGUUUUUGUCAUGACAGUGAGUGGAAAGACACAUGUGUAUUUCAAUGGGAUGCUAUACCAAAUUGCCAGUUUUGGUACAGCCAGUAGGCAACUAUUAUGGGCUGUGUUAUUAAGAGGUACAAGUUCAAGAACUGGGAUGAUCUUCUACCUGAUAUUCAGACAAUUUCUAAACAUGUUUGAGGAAAUUAAGUUUGACAAGACGAAGAGGAAGAUAAGUAGGAAUUGCCUUGGAGGAAAUAAAU
rnacentral:lncRNA from 1 species